AACACAAACCCCGACGCUGAAUGCGUCAAGGAAUUUAAAAUUUGCUCUGAGCGCACCUGCAUGGCACCGGAGACGGUUUUCGUGCGGGUUGUGUUCUGACACAUAAUAUAGAAUGACUCUCGGCAACGGAUAUCUAGGCUCUUGCAUCGAUGAAGAACGUAGCGAAAUGCGAUACUUGGUGUGAAUUGCAGAAUCCCGUGAACCAUCGAGUCUUUGAACGCAAGUUGCGCCCGAUGCCAUUAGGCUGAGGGCACGUCUGCCUGGGCGUCACAUAUCGAAGCCUCUCGCCAAUUUCCUAUAUUGAUAGGGGUAUUGUGCAGGGCGAAUGUUGGCCUCCCGUGAGCUCUAUUGCCUCAUGGUUGGUUGAAAAUUGAGACCUUGGUAGGGUGUGCCAUGAUAGAUGGUGGCUGUGUUACGCACGAGACCAAGUAAGUCAUGUGCUGCUCUAUCGAAUUUAGGCCUCUUUUACCCACAUGCGUUUCGAAACGCUCGUGAUGAGACCUCAGGUCAGGCGGGGCUACCCGCUGAAUUUAAGCAUAUCAAUAAGCGGAGGAAAAGAAACUAACAAGGAUUCC
rnacentral:rRNA from 2 species